GUGUGAGAGUGUGUGUGAGAGUGUGUGUGAGAGUAUGAGUGUAUGUAUGAGAGUAUGUGUGUGUGUGUGUGAGAGUGUGAGUAUGUGUGAGAGUGUGUGAGUAUGUAUGAGUGU